GAGAGAGAGAGAGAGAGAGAGAACGAUCAGAUCUACCGUGACCUCCUGGUUCCCUGCUAAAUUGCCUCUAAUAGUUACCCUACAGUCCAGAGAUUGCCUCCUCCCCUCCCUUCAGACCCCCAGGUGGUAGGAGGCCCAGGGACCUGCCCCUUGUACUUGCCUGGAACUUUCUUUACCCCCUUCCCACGCUUCUGCAGCCUGUACCUAUGGAAGCUCCCUUGAGCCGUCCCAGAUUGAGCGGCCCAUUUGGACUCCGUCUGAUACACAAGGUCCGAUGUCCUCAUUCAUAGGACAGAUUCCUGGAGAAAACUCUGAAGCUCAGAUCCCUCAAGAAACAAGCAGGGUGCCAGCCCUGUGGGCCUCCACACAUUAAGAGAGAAAGGAGGGAGCGUUCCACCGUUGUAUAACCUGUACUCCUAGAAUGUGUUGGAUCCCACUCUCUCUACCCCCGCAACAUUCAGGCAGAAGGACCCUAAGUGCUGAGGAAAGCAGCUGAUUCUCUGCGGAACCGUGGAAGCUGCUCUGCCCUGUGGUGAGAAGACAUUGGCAAAUGCCAGAAUGGGCCACAGGAAGAGCACUCCGACCCAUCACCUUGAAAGAGGCACCACAAGUAGCAGGGUUUAGUGCUUCUUUGUGGAGAAGGAGGAGCUUCUCUGUGACUGAAACCCCUAUCAUCAGCAAGAAGUCAAAGAAGACAUAAUCCCAUAGCAAUAGCUAAGAACACCGGGGAGCAUAUCACAGUUUCUUCUAUUUUGGAAUCUACAUAACUGUAGCUAGGGAUAUCAGGACCAAAAAUAUCACUCUGAACCAAAACUAGAGAAUUACGAAAUCUCAGCGUCGGGGAGAAUGUUAGCUCACAUUCUCAACAUCAACCUGUAUGCAAGACACCUUCCACACAACUUAAGGUGGCUUCCACACAACAAUUACUGGAAACCCCUCAGCCACUGUAAAUUCAGUGACUGGAAAUGAUGCCUUUCCCAGGUGUUAGCAAAUAAUUGCUAAAGAAAACUUCGUGUAAUGUAUUGCAACCUCUUAAACCACAAUUGCAACCUCUUAAACCACAAAUACAGUCUGAGUCUAAGAUCUUUUCUGAUUCUUCCACACGAUAGCGAUCAAAACUCCUCUCUCCAUCAGCUCACUCAUACGCACGCAUGCACACACACACCACAUAUAUACAUGUCCUUUUUCUCAGCUCUGGGUAAAAUGCUGGGUUCCUUUGCCUGUUUCUCAUAUGUUCUUUUUCUUUAAUAUUCCUGGACCUUGCACUUUAUACAUUUUCUGGGUUAUCACUGGCCCUAAUGAACUAGCUAAUCCCCCCCACUAUUUUUUAUUCAGAGAAUGUAGCUAUUCUGGGAGUGGGUUGAAAUGAAAGUGAUCAAAAUUCUAUUAUCUUUCACAUUAUCUAUCUGCCCAGGUUCAAUCUAUCUAUUAAACGUCACUCUUUGAAUGCAGCUGUUCAAUUAGAGAGACUAGCAAAUCUAGAAUGAAGAGCCUGUUUUCAACAUUUUAGUUACAUACCCAGAAGUGUGUACGUCACUGGGACCAAUAGUGGAAGGGGGUGACAAUCCCAGUCACACAUGGAACCAUUGCCAGACCUAUACUGGAAUGCGGAUUGUGAGGUAAGGAGGGGGCCUGAGAGGAGGUAAGGAUGCCAGUGAAAUACACCUGCACCCCCACGUGCUUUAUUUCUACUCCAGCGGUCACUCAGGGAUGCUCAGACCUCCCCCACUGCCUGUGCCAGAGACGGCAGAAUUUGCUAAGAUGUCUUUACAUUACUUCUCUAAAACAGAAAAGAAAAAGUUUUAAAACAUUACAUAUUUCCCACUGAUUCCAAAGAGACCUGGGUUUUUACAGAUGUAGCCACAUUAGAGAAAUACUACAUAGAAAGGUGUCAAAGACUCUGGUGGUUUGCAUGGUACAAGUUCUGAAUGCUUUCUCAAAAGCUGAGUCUUUAUAAGUGCAGGAACAAAAUCCCAGAGAGUUUGCAAGCAAACCCCUUGAAAGGUCUGCCGUUCCACUGCGAUGAAAGCCACCAGAGGAAGAGAUGGAGCACACUCCCAGCUAGGACUUCAGCCACCUUCAUGGAAACGCAGGAACCCAGAUUGGAUACAAUUUUUGAAUCUUCAGAGGAAAAGAAAAUCCAUGCAAGAAAUGAGAACAACUUUUAUGAGUCAUUCGGAUGGGCAUGCCACCCAGGUCUACUGCAAGAGCCAUGGGGGAGAGGAGAUGUCCUGGGAAGGUUUUCUCAUUCCUAAGAAGCAAACACCAGAACAGAGCAAGCUACUGGUACUGCUCCCGGGAGUCUGCAGAGGAGAGGCCUAGCACCACAGCAGAGCUCCAGCUCCUGGGUGAACUCGAAGUCAGCACACUAAGAAAGCAAAGGUGUGUGCCUGUGGAACCCAACCUUCACAUUGUAAAGAAGCCCAGGUAUUGUGCAGAAGUCCCAUGCACCUGCUCCAGGCCCACAGCUGUCAGUCAGCGUCUACCACCAAGCACGAGGGCAAAUGAGCCUUAGGAGGAUUUCAGCACCCACUGUUUAUUAUAAAUAUUUAAGGUAUACAACAUAGUUUUGAUAUACUUACACACAGUAACAUGGUUACUAUAUGUAGAGAUUCCUUAUUGGUUGACUGAUGUAUCUAGUUUAUGCUAAUUAAGAUAAGCUGUGCAAAAUGUAUAAAUAGCUCUGUUGUCCUACAAUAAAUG